rnacentral:rRNA from 1 species
GAUCCUGGCUCAGGAUGAACGCUAGCUACAGGCUUAACACAUGCAAGUCGAGGGGCAGCAUGACGAUAGCUUGCUAUUGUUGAUGGCGACCGGCGCACGGGUGAGUAACGCGUAUCCAACCUGCCCUUGUCCAUCGGAUAACCCGUCGAAAGGCGGCCUAACACGAUAUGCGGUUCUCAGCAGGCAUCUAACGAGAACGAAAUGUAAAGGAGAAGGAUGGGGAGUGCGU